UAGGGAAUCUUCGGCAAUGGACGAAAGUCUGACCGAGCAACGCCGCGUGAGUGAAGAAGGUUUUCGGAUCGUAAAACUCUGUUGUUAGAGAAGAACAAGGACGUUAGUAACUGAACGUCCCCUGACGGUAUCUAACCAGAAAGCCACGGCUAACUACGUGCCAGCAGCCGCGGUAAUACGUAGGUGGCAAGCGUUGUCCGGAUUUAUUGGGCGUAAAGCGAGCGCAGGCGGUUUCUUAAGUCUGAUGUGAAAGCCCCCGGCUCAACCGGGGAGGGUCAUUGGAAACUGGGAGACUUGACUGCAGAAGAGGAGAGUGGAAUUCCAUGUGUAGCGGUGAAAUGCGUAGAUAUAUGGGGGAACACCAGUGGCGAAGGCGGCUCUCUGGUCUGUAACUGACGCUGAGGCUCGAAAGCGUGGGGAGCAAACAGG
rnacentral:rRNA from 1 species